CUACGGGACGCAGCAGUCGAGAGUCUUCCACAAUGGGCGAAAGCCUGAUGGAGCGACGUCGCGUGCAGGAUGAAGUCCUUAGGGGCGUAAACUGCUUUUGUAGAGGAGAAAUUUUGAUGAUAUUACUCUAAGAAUAAGGGGUUGCUAAACUCGUGCCAGCAGCAGCGGUAAUACGAGUACCCCGAGCGUUAUCCGGAUUUAUUGGGCGUAAAGGGUGUGUAGGAGGCCAUAUUAGUCCCACUUUAAAGAUCUCGGCUUAACCGAGAAGAUGGGCGGGAAACGGUAUGGCUAGAGGAUGCGAGAGGUUUGCGGAACCCAUGGUGUAGGGGUGAAAUCCGUUGAUAUCAUGGGGAACACCGAAGGCGAAGGCAGCAAACUGGCGCAUAUCUGACUCUGAGACACGAAAGCGUGGGUAGCGAAUGGGAUUAGAUACCCGUGUAGUC
rnacentral:rRNA from 1 species